CAGUCGCCACGGUAAUACGUAGGUCCCGAGCGUUGUCCGGAUUUAUUGGGCGUAAAGCGAGCGCAGGCGGUUAGAUAAGUCUGAAGUUAAAGGCUGUGGCUUAACCAUAGUACGCUUUGGAAACUGUUUAACUUGAGUGCAAGAGGGGAGAGUGGAAUCCCAUGUGUAGCGGUGAAAUGCGUAGAUAUAUGGAGGAACACCGGUGGCGAAAGCGGCUCUCUGGCUUGUAACUGACGCUGAGGCUCGAAAGCGUGGGGAGCAAACAGGAUUAGAUACCCCGGUAGUCCCUGUCUCUUAUACC
rnacentral:rRNA from 1 species